AAAAAUUACAGUAACUUUGCGUCAUUCUAGAUUGUUUUGGAAGUAUCUGUUUCAGCGCACAAACACUGUUAUAGUUGCUCGCUUUUCGUCGUUCGUUGUUCGUUGUUCACAAAUUUUACGUUUGGCAUCCAUUGUUACGCAUACGCAUCAUACGCGGCUGAUCAGAUUCUACGUUGGCGCCUCGAUUCCCAUCGUCGUUUGUGAUGACAUAACUAUCAUGAAAAUGUUGCUGUGGCUGCACCUACCAAGGAAAACGGCAAUUUUCAAUAGGACUACUUACUAAACUCCAGUCUUCUGUGCAAAAGAGCAUGCAAAGUAGACUAUGGUACAAAUAGCCGCAAACUCGACCCCUAAAAUCGUUGGCCGUAAUAGAAAGGACAAGUACAAAUUAAAACUGAAGUGAACGAAACGGAAUACCGGCAAUACAUCCUUCACUCUCAGUUAUGUUACGCCUUCCAUGGAAUUUCAAGGUGUUUGGGUAUGACCAGCAUCAGUCAUCGACAUUUGCUUUGAGUAAAGCUGUUCUAUUAAUCUACUAUGCGCGCUGGUCACUGUAGUAAAUAAUAGCACAGCAGAUGUAUUCAAUUUUGGCAUUAUGCAUUGUGCUCCUUUUUAGCACACUAAAAGGGAGACCAAAAUAGUUCUUAUCCCAAGUCCAUCUGUUUAUUAUUCAAUUUCGACUGAUUCUUUUAUGAUGUGAUGCUAUCCAUUGCUUAAUUUCCAUCUUCUUUGCAUAGAUUGUUGGUAGAGGCCAUAGUAGCUAAUCGGGUAUUUUAAUGAUCCUGUUAUCAGGGGUUGGGGACGUUACGUCGGACAACUCUGAUUUUGUCCUAUUUGGUUUUGUAUGUCGUUUGACUUGAGCUAGCAUAGAUAGGGGAAGGGCAACCCUUUUCUCCGUCAUCUUAUGACUAGGAUAAAUCGGGAAAUGGGCCAAUAUUUAUAGAUUCCGAUUUGUAUAUGUAAAUGUUGAACCUUCUAAUCCAAAAUUGUAGCUAUGGCGUUUUGGUCUACUUUGACCCUUCCGAUACUCGCUGAGACAUUUUUUUUUUCACAUAUGCGUAGCAAAAGACAGAGCGGUGGAAGGUUUGGUCUUGCAUAUUAAAAAACUUACUAUUGUUUUGUUAAAAUUGUUCUUUCUAUUUAUAACGUCUGUAAGUAUCAAUGAUGCCUUAGGACGUUCAAAUUCAAGAAACUUGCAAAAUGUAGGUCCUUACGUCUUGUCUACAUUAUAUCAAAUUUUGAAAGAUAUCCAGCAAUAUAGUGGAUUAGAAAUCUAUCAAGCAAUUCAUCAAGCUCGUCGCUCAAAAGUACACCACAGAACGUUUGACGCCUCGUCAAAAACCCUCUAUGAAAAAUGAUUAGUGGUUAAUUGGUAGACAGCUUUUCCGAUGUUAUAAGGGGCAGUUGUUCAUUCGUGAAAUCAUAUAGCCUAGAUUUAUGACGUUAUGUAUCGCUACGUGCACAUUGCUAAGGGAUUUACUUUUUAAAUUGCCUUCGCAUUUAACCCCAAAAGUAUUUUGGCUUAGUAACCACUCAAAAAAUCAGAACAGAAUAUUGAAAUAUCAAAUUUACCAACAUAUUUGAAAACUGAAUAUUGUGUCAUUUUGACCAAUAUGUUGCUACGAAGCAAAAUGAUUGUAAAACAAGUCGAAAAAACCUGACCGAUUGUAAAGGUCAUGGUUUACUGACGAGUAGAAUUCUAUAUCUACGUACAUUUUCAUCGCAUUUAUUAUUAGUCAUUGACGACAGAGUUGUCUCCGUUGAGAAAGAAAACAUACUGUGCAUACAGACAGAUGAAGAAAUUUGGUGACCGGUUUCGAAAAAAACUGGAUUAUACACUGCCAAAUGGUGAAAACAACUUUAUUAUCAUCGCCAGGUCACGUUGAAGUCUAAGAGGUGGUUGACGAAGAUUUCGUGCCCAGACUAUGAAUAGUGGACAGAGAGAAAUUGGUUACGUUUAUUCUGGAUCCCGUUCGGCUGCCUCUUUUUCUUUAUCAGCUUUCCUUUGCUCGGUUUUUGCUCCCCUUCCAUUUUGGAUAGCGAGUGGAAAGAUGCACCUGUCAUCGAUCAACGUCUCAGCUAUGUCUGUAGAGAUGCAAGCGAGAGUUCUUCCUUUCUUGAGCUUUUGAUUAUCAUGGUAGCAUAGCUUCACUGGUUUCCCAGAAUAUAUAUUCAGGUCUUUGUAGGGACAACGCACUUAAAAGAGGCAACAAAGUUGAUUGUAUACAUGAAGAACAUUGAUGGCAUUAAUUUUCUCCUGUGCGCAUAAAACGCACAGUAUCAAAAAAAUACACAUUUUUCCUGGGUGGAACUAUCGGCAAGUGACUGACUUGAUUUUCUACAAUUUGCUCGAUAAUCACAUUAGACUAUUUGAUAAAAAAACAAAAACGAUG
rnacentral:lncRNA from 1 species